rnacentral:RNase_P_RNA from 1 species
GUGGCAGGUCAAAAAAAGUCACCGCUUCCAGGUGUAUAACCUGGGAGAGGAAAGUCCGGGCUCCUUUGAGCAUGGCACCGGGUAACUCCCGGGCAUGAGUUUUCGCAAGGAAACUCAUGACAGAUAGUGUCACAGAAAACUGAUACUGCAAUUCACCUUUCAAGGUGAAUUGCAUGGGUGAAAAGGCGGGUUAAAAGCCCACCGCGCAGUUGGUAACAACUGCGGCUUGAAAAACCUUGCCAGGAGCAAAGCCAAACAGCAGGAGACUGCUCGUCUAAUACCUGCGGGUAGGCUGCAAUGGAUGUCGCAUGCAAAUGCGGCACAAGAGAGAUGGUGACUAAACCUUCCCCUCACGGGGAAAGUCUACAGAACCCGGCUUAUUGACCUGCCAUUUUU